AAAUUGAAGAGUUUGAUCAUGGCUCAGAUUGAACGCUGGCGGCAGGCCUAACACAUGCAAGUCGAACGGUAACAGGAACAGCUUGCUGUUCGCUGACGAGUGGCGGACGGGUGAGUAAUGUCUGGGAAACUGCCUGAUGGAGGGGGAUAACUACUGGAAACGGUAGCUAAUACCGCAUAACGUCGCAAGACCAAAGAGGGGGACCUUCGGGCCUCUUGCCAUCGGAUGUGCCCAGAUGGGAUUAGCUAGUAGGUGGGGUAACGGCUCACCUAGGCGACGAUCCCUAGCUGGUCUGAGAGGAUGACCAGCCACACUGGAACUGAGACACGGUCCAGAC
rnacentral:rRNA from 1 species